rnacentral:tRNA from 1 species
GCCUGGGUGGCUCAGUCGGUUGGGCGUCCGACUACGGCUCGGGUCAUGAUCUCCCAGAGUGUGGGUUUGAGCCCUGCAUCGGGCU